AAUCUAGUGGAAACAUCUCCGCACAAACUAGACUACUGAAACCAGUGUGCGGAAGUGCUUCUGCUACAUU
rnacentral:pre_miRNA from 15 species